CCUACGGGUGGCAGCAGUGGGGGAUAUUGCACAAUGGGGGGAACCCUGAUGCAGCGACGCCGCGUGGGUGAAGAAGCGCCUCGGCGCGUAAAGCCCUGUCAGCAGGGAAGAAAAUGACGGUACCUGAAGAAGAAGCCCCGGCUAACUACGGGCCAGCAGCCGCGGUAAUACGUAGGGGGCAAGCGUUAUCCGGAUUUACGGGGGGGAAAGGGGGCGCAGACGGCGCUGCAAGCCAGGCGUGAAAGCCCGGGGCCCAACCCCGGGACUGCUCUUGGAACUGCGUGGAUGGAGUGCAGGAGGGGCAGGCGGAAUUCCUGGUGUAGCGGUGCAAUGCGUAGAUAUCAGGAGGAACACCGGUGGCGAAGGCGGCCUGCUGGACUGCAACUGACGUUGAGGCCCGAAAGCGUGGGGAGCAAACAGGAUUAGAUACCCCAGUAGUC
rnacentral:rRNA from 1 species